UCACUGUUUACCUAUAAUUUUUGACUCUUUGUCUUAUUCAAAUUUUUUUUGCGAUUGAUAUUUUUGUUUUUAUUAGAUGAUAAAUCAUGAAUAGUACUUUACGUGUCACUAAUUUUUUUCUAAUUUCCUGAAAAUUUUUCAAAUAAGACGGAUGGAUACGGAAACC
rfam:Oryza brachyantha chromosome 6, whole genome shotgun sequence.